AUCCUUCGCCCACGUCGCCACCUACGGCCCGAGACACACCAGGCCGGCAGGCUGAGAAAAGCGAGACCGCGUGCGAGGACCGCUUGCUUUUCUCCCCUGACCAUGCUCUGAGGAUGCCGUUCCCUGUCCGCACCUGUGUUCUGUGUCAUUUUUGGGCGUAACUGGCAUCUGUGUAGUGUUCCAUUUCCUGUGGAACUCCGGAGCGUGGUGGACAGACUGUGCCGCUGCAGGAAGCUACAAACAGGCGGUCCUGCCGUUUGUGGAGCUUUCCCUCUUGCCCCCGGGGGCUCUGCCCUGCACAGACAGUGGCUGUGGUUCUGAGUUGCUCCCCAUCAGCAAUGCAGAGUCCCUGGACAGGCUCCUGCCACCUGUGGGCACCAGGCGCUCUCCCCGGAAGCGGACCACCAGCCAGUGCAAGUCAGAGCCUCCCCUGCUGCGCACAAGCAAGCGUACCAUCUACACCGCGGGGCGGCCGCCCUGGUACAAUGAGCACGGCACGCAAUCCAAAGAGGCCUUCGCCAUCG
rnacentral:sRNA from 1 species